GAUGAACGCUGGCGGCGUGCUUAACACAUGCAAGUCGAACGGAAAGGCCCAAGCUUGCUUGGGUACUCGAGUGGCGAACGGGUGAGUAACACGUGGGUGAUCUGCCCUGCACUUCGGGAUAAGCCUGGGAAACUGGGUCUAAUACCGGAUAGGACCACUUCUUGGAUGUUGUGGUGGAAAGUUUUUUCGGUGUGGGAUGAGCUCGCGGCCUAUCAGCUUGUUGGUGGGGUAAUGGCCUACCAAGGCGUCGACGGGUAGCCGGCCUGAGAGGGUGUACGGCCACAUUGGGACUGAGAUACGGCCCAGACUCCUACGGGAGGCAGCAGUGGGGAAGAUUGCACAAUGGGCGCAAGCCUGAUGCAGCGACGCCGCGUGGGGGAUGACGGCCUUCGGGUUGUAAACUCCUUUCGCUAGGGACGAAGCGUUUUGUGACGGUACCUGGAGAAGAAGCAUCGGCUAACUACGUG
rnacentral:rRNA from 1 species